UUAUUUAUUUUUGGCUUCACCAUGCCACUUGCAGGAUCUUUGUUCCCUGACUAGGGAUUGAACCGGGGCCCUCACCAGUGAAAGUGUGGAAUCAUAACCACUGGAUUGCCAGGGAAUUCCCUGUGUGUGUGU